rnacentral:lncRNA from 1 species
GGGCACCUGCCAGAUGCCAGCCAGAGCUCUUCUGUAUGAGAUCUCCCUAAGAUACAACACAACAGUGCCUAGCCUGGAAGCCACAAAGGACUUCAAAUAACACAGAGAAGUGACCCACCAGAAUUACCUGGGAAGCUUUUAAUAAGUUGUGGAUGUUGCUUGAGAAUCUGUGCUUUUGUUAUGCAGUGUUCUUGCAGAGAUUAUUUCCACUUGCCUGCCGUGCAUAGUUUUGAAAAAAGCCAAACUAGAUUGUGAGCUCCCUGAGAGCAGGGACAUACUCCUUUCCCUCAAAAUUAUGGCCUUUGUGUCUCGUAUACCUUCUGACAGAUAUUAGGCACUGAAUAAAUUUUUGUUAAAUGAA